UACGUAGGGGGCAAGCGUUGUCCGGAAUCAUUGGGCGUAAAGCGCGUGUAGGCGGCUUGGUAAGUCUGCUCUGAAAGCCCGGGGCUCAACCCCGGGAGGCGGGUGGAUACUGUCAAGCUCGAGUCCGGAAGAGGAGUGUGGAAUUCCUGGUGUAGCGGUGAAAUGCGUAGAUAUCGGGAGGAACACCAGUGGCGAAGGCGGCUACCUGGCCCAUUCUUGACGCUGAGGCGCGAAAGCUAGGGGAGCGAACGGG
rnacentral:rRNA from 1 species